rnacentral:rRNA from 1 species
GAUGAACGCUGGCGGCGUGCCUAAUACAUGCAAGUCGAGCGAAAAGACGAGGAGCUUGCGCCUCUGAUGUUAGCGGCGGAGGGGAGAGUAACACGUGGAUAAACUACCUAUAAGACUGGGAUAACUUCGGGAAACCGGAGCUAAUACCGGAUAACAUGUUGAACCGCAUGGUUCAACAGUGAAAGACGGUCUUGGUGUGACUAAUAGAUGGAUCCGCGCCGCAUUAGCUAGUUGGUAAGGUAACGGCUUACCAAGGCAACGAUGCGUAGCCGACCUGAGAGGUUGAUCGGCCCCUCUGCAGCUGAGACGCGCUCCAGACCCCUACGGGAGGCAGCAGUAGGGAAUCUUCCGCAAUGGGCGAAAGCCUGACGGAGCCACGCCGCGUGAGUGAAGAAGGGCUUCGGAUCGUAAAACUCUGUUAUUUGGGAAGAACAAAUGUGUAUGUAACGAUGCACGUCUGGACGUUACCUAAUCAGAAAGCCCCGCUUAAUUCCUU